rnacentral:rRNA from 1 species
CCCUUAGAUGUCCUGGGCCGCACGCGCGCUACACUGAUGCAUGCAACGAGUUUAUAACCUUGGCCUGAAAGGUCUGGGUAAUCUUUUGAACGUGCAUCGUGAUAGGGAUAGAUUAUUGCAAUUGUUAAUCUUGAACGAGGAAUUCCUAGUAAACGCGAGUCAUCAGCUCGCAUUGAUUACGUCCCUGCCCUUUGUACACACCGCCCGUCGCACCUACCGAUUGAAUGGUUCGGUGAAGAUCUCGGACUUCGAUAUUUAUUCUUUAUUGAGUUUAUAUUGUGGGAAGUUAUCUAAACCUCAUCAUUUAGAGGAAGGAAAAGUCGUAACA